GACAGAGGGUGCAAACGUUGUUCGGAUUUACUGGGCGUAAAGCGCGUGUAGGCGGUCACGCAAGUCAGGUGUGAAAGCCCAGGGCUCAACCCUGGAAGUGCACAUGAUACUACGUGGCUGGAGUACUGAAGAGGAGAGCGGAAUUCCCGGUGUAGAGGUGAAAUUCGUAGAUAUCGGGAGGAACACCAGUGGCGAAGGCGGCUCUCUGGGCAGAUACUGACGCUGAGACGCGAAAGCGUGGGUAGCAAACAGG
rnacentral:rRNA from 1 species